UACGUAGGGGGCAAGCGUUGUCCGGAUUUAUUGGGCGUAAAGAGCGUGUAGGCGGUUUGGUAGGUCCGUUGUGAAAACUCGAGGCUCAACCUCGAGACGCCGAUGGAAACCAUCAGACUAGAGUCCGGAAGAGGAGAGUGGAAUUCCGUGGUGUAAGCGGUGAAAUGCGGCAGAUAAUCAGGAGGAACACCUGUGGCGAAAGCGGCGCACUGGACCAACAACGUGCGCUGGAGGCGCGAAAGACGUGGGGAGCGAACAGGA
rnacentral:rRNA from 1 species